GGGAGCUUGCUCCCUGAUGUUAGCGGCGGACGGGUGAGUAACACGUGGGUAACCUGCCUGUAAGACUGGGAUAACUCCGGGAAACCGGGGCUAAUACCGGAUGGUUGUUUGAACCGCAUGGUUCAGACAUAAAAGGUGGCUUCGGCUACCACUUACAGAUGGACCCGCGGCGCAUUAGCUAGUUGGUGAGGUAACGGCUCACCAAGGCGACGAUGCGUAGCCGACCUGAGAGGGUGAUCGGCCACACUGGGACUGAGACACGGCCCAGACUCCUACGGGAGGCAGCAGUAGGGAAUCUUCCGCAAUGGACGAAAGUCUGACGGAGCAACGCCGCGUGAGUGAUGAAGGUUUUCGGAUCGUAAAGCUCUGUUGUUAGGGAAGAACAAGUGCCGUUCAAAUAGGGCGGCACCUUGACGGUACCUAACCAGAAAGCCACGGCUAACUACGUGCCAGCAGCCGCGGUAAUACGUAGGUGGCAAGCGUUGUCCGGAAUUAUUGGGCGUAAAGGGCUCGCAGGCGGUUUCUUAAGUCUGAUGUGAAAGCCCCCGGCUCAACCGGGGAGGGUCAUUGGAAACUGGGGAACUUGAGUGCAGAAGAGGAGAGUGGAAUUCCACGUGUAGCGGUGAAAUGCGUAGAGAUGUGGAGGAACA
rnacentral:rRNA from 1 species